AGGAGGAUCUUGGAUCUCAAACGUUCGAGAGCUGCAAUCGUCGUACAAAGCUGGACGGAUUUGAGCUACCAACGGCGAACGAUAGCUGGCUAGGAGACAAUUCUUACGACACAACACCAAUUGGUUAACCGAUCAUAGUUAACGUAAUGGCUGGAGACACAUAUUUUUUGCGCAGCACAUAAAAUCGACCAAUCG
rnacentral:lncRNA from 13 species